rnacentral:rRNA from 1 species
UACGAAGGGUGCAAACGUUGCUCGGAAUUAUUGGGCGUAAAGCGCGCGUAGGCGGCUUGGCAAGUCGGAUGUGAAAUCCCUCGGCUCAACCAAGGAAGUGCAUCCGAAACUGCCGAGCUUGAGUACUUAAGAGGAUCGCGGAAUUCCCGGUGUAGAGGUGAAAUUCGUAGAUAUUCGGAAGAACACCAGUGGCGAAGGCGACUUACUGGACACAUAUUGACGCUGAGGUGCGAAAGCGUGGGGAGCAAACAGG